rnacentral:lncRNA from 1 species
UUCUAAGGUCCUUCUGAGGUCAGAAGGAGUUGGAGUAAGAAGAAAGACCAUCAGAGUGGUAAGGAAAGGAACAGAGGAUGAUGUAUACAUAUAUAUGACAGAAGAAUAAUUGACCUAGAAGCCAAAACAUCACCCUGAUCUACCAAGAAAGCUGACACUGGAAGAGAGGCUGACACGAGAGGACUUCCUAAUCCUGAAUUCUAGAAUGAGUUUCAGCGCCUCUGGAGAAGCCACAAGGCUGAGUCUCCUAUCUUUCCUGGGGUCUGAGACUGUUAGCUGUUGAGUGUUCUCUCUUGCAGCAAGAUCUCACAAAGCAAGAGAUGUCAAAGGCAGAACCUGAAUCUGAGAAGCCAAGGAAAAGAGGAAGCCUCUUGGAAAAGAGGCUAAGCUAAGAAGGUAGAAAGGAGAAGAAAAGGGCAGCAGGCUAGACCGCUGGUGAGAGAGAACCUCCGUGGCUUGUCUGGUCUGAACUGUACCAUGAGCUGCACCGGAAGUGCUGUUAACCAGGAAGAUGGUGAGAUCGUCCCUGGAGACAGGGUGCAGGUCGAGAGGUACUUCCUCAGCAAGAGUAAGGCGAAUCUCUCUGAGUCCUGGUCACGUAAAAAUGGGAUGCUUCCUGGCCCUCCCGCUCAGUGGGUGGAGCUGUCACAUGACCAGGCUCCCUUGGAUUCCUCUGCGAGCAGGGCAGAACCAUAGGAGAGAACAGCCGCAGAGGGAUGGGAGCUUGUUGCCUGGCUCCAGGCUCCUCUGCCAGCGCUCCCUGUCCACAGUUGUAGCCGAAUGACUGAAGACCCAGCCUGGUUGUCAGAUCUGGCGUCUUGUCUCACUGCUGUACCUAACUGGUUAAGAUAACUCUCUAAACGUCUGUAAGUUCAGUUUUACUGUGAAUAAAAACGAGCAUCCUAACAAU